AGCAGUCGCCGCGGUAAUACGUAGGGUGCAAGCGUUAAUCGGAAUUACUGGGCGUAAAGCGUGCGCAGGCGGUUUGUUAAGACAGAUGUGAAAUCCCCGGGCUCAACCUGGGAACUGCAUUUGUGACUGGCGAGCUAGAGUAUGGCAGAGGGGGGUAGAAUUCCACGUGUAGCAGUGAAAUGCGUAGAGAUGUGGAGGAAUACCGAUGGCGAAGGCAGCCCCCUGGGCCAAUACUGACGCUCAUGCACGAAAGCGUGGGGAGCAAACAGGAUUAGAUACCCCCGUAGUCCCUGUCUCUUAUAA
rnacentral:rRNA from 1 species